AGCCCGCCCAGGUUACAGGGUGGAGGCGGGGAGUGGGACGCGCUGGGCACCACAGGAGAGCAGAGUGGACGGUCAGACACGCCGCCUGUCAGCCGCCUCCAGCAUUAGUAAAAGAUGUGAGCCAGGAGCAAAGAGUGUGAGCCAGGAACAAUGAGUGUUAGCUUGGCAGAAGAAGGCGGGGCUGGCUUUUGGGGUACUGGACACUAUGACUACCAUCUGUUUCCAGGAUUUGGGACCCUUGCCUCCAGCCAGCUCUCAGCUAACAGUCCUUUCAGUCUGCCACCCCCUUGACUUCCUCCUAAUGCUUAUUUCUGUGUAAUAUGUAAUGUGCACUAUAGGAUGGCCAUCCUGCGCUCCUGGAAUACAGCCAGCCUGGAGGGCAGAAGCCACCCCGCCUAGGACAGAGUUCUGUGCACAGAACACUUAGGGCAUAGGUGUCACCGGUAAAAUGAAACACUUACCAACAUGUUGCCAACCACAAGCAGAAAGACAAAAUAGCGAAGACGAUGUGAAGAAUGAAGCAGAACUCUGGACUUUUUUCAAAAUGAAUAUAUAAUUUAAACUAUCUUGGGCGUAAUGGCUUGGCCACUGUGUCAGAGACGCCCCUGAAUGCGAUGGCUUGAACAGGAGAGAACGUUCCCAGCCCAGGCCCAGAUGGCUCUGCCGCCUUCAACAUGGGCUUCCAUCUCACGCAUCUAAAGUGGCUGCUCCCUGCCACCAGCAACACAGAGAAGAGGGCAGUUCCCAGUUCCGUCAGCUGGAAGAGGCAGAAAUGACGCAUGCCCCUUUGACUACGUCACACAUGCCACACCCAGCAGCAACAGGGGCCUAAAACGUAACCCUGUGCUGGGCGGCCAUGCACCCAGCUACAAUUUUAUUACUGCAUACAAAGGGGGUUAUGGAUAUUUGAGAACACAAUCUGCCACACACACUUGAUUUUUCACUUUUAAACGAAAUUUUGUGAAUCCUAAGAGAAAAGUUCACAGCCCUAAAAUAUGAUAGGUUUCACAAGAAGUAGCUGUACUACGGCCGAAGGCAGCCUUUCCAUCUGAGUCUCUGGAGGUCAUUGAUAAUUACCCCUUCACAACUGAUGGGUAAUGGAAGAGAAGCUGUGAAACCGUGUCGGUAGACGUAUAUGGUGACAGAGACACUCGCAAUCUAUGUGUUCUAUGAUUUAAAAAAACUUUCAAAACUACAUGUGCACAGAGAUAAUGAGAUGAUAGAAGAAAUAUAUAUAAAAUUGUGUUCAAGGUGAGAGAGUUGUGCAAUUUUUGGCAAAACUUAUGUAUAAAAUAGGCAUUUCAAAUAUUUGUAACUAGUUCAAGGUACAAAGAAUGGGCACAGUUUUACUCAUGCAAAGCUUUACUCAUGCUCUAGUCGCAAAAUAAAAAUUAAGACAAUAGCCCUCUGAA